AGAGUUUGAUCCUGGCUCAGGACGAACGCUGGCGGCGUGCCUAACACAUGCAAGUCGAACGCGAAAGUCCCUUCGGGGAUGAGUAGAGUGGCGUCCGGGUGAGUAACGCGUGGGUAAUCUACCUUCGGGUGGGGAAUAACCCAGGGAAACUUGGGCUAAUACCGCAUAAUGCAGCGGCUCGACAUCGAGACAGUUGUUAA
rnacentral:rRNA from 1 species